rnacentral:rRNA from 1 species
AUUGAACGCUGGCGGCAGGCCUAACACAUGCAAGUCGAACGAGUGGCGGACGGGUGAGUAAUGUCUGGGAAACUGCCUGAUGGAGGGGGAUAACUACUGGAAACGGUAGCUAAUACCGCAUACCAUCGGAUGUGCCCAGAUGGGAUUAGCUAGUAGGUGGGGUAAAGGCGCACCUAGGCGACGAUCCCUAGCUGGUCUGAGAGGAUGACCAGCCACACUGGAACAGCGACACGGUCCAGACGCCUACGUGAGGCAGCAGUGGGGAACAUUGGACAAUGGGCGCAAGCCUGAUGCAGCCAUGCCGCGUGUAUGAAGAAGGCCUUCGGGUGGUAAAGUACUUUCAUCGGGGAGGCGUUACCCGCAGAAGAAGCACCGGCUAACUCCGUGCCAGCAGCCGCGGGAAUAC